rnacentral:rRNA from 1 species
UACGAAGGGGGCUAGCGUUGCUCGGAAUCACUGGGCGUAAAGCGCACGUAGGCGGAUUGUUAAGUCGGGGGUGAAAUCCUGGAGCUCAACUCCAGAACUGCCUUCGAUACUGGCGAUCUCGAGUCCGGGAGAGGUGAGUGGAACUCCGAGUGUAGAGGUGAAAUUCGUAGAUAUUCGGAAGAACACCAGUGGCGAAGGCGGCUCACUGGCCCGGUACUGACGCUGAGACGCGAAAGCGUGGGGAGCGAACAGG